AGGAUCGAACGGUAAGAGAGUUGAGAUUAUACAGAAAUAACCAAACCGGUCCGGUUAUGUGUACGAACCACGAUUCUUGUGAGUUUCCCUAUUUAAAAUAAACCGUACAAGUUCAUGUCUGAAUGUUUGGCACGGACACCGACGGGGGAAACAGCUGUUUUGUCGGCGUCGGUUGGGAGAUUUUGUCGAAGAUCACUGCUUUUUAUAUAUCAAACUCGUCAACAGAUUGAAGUAUGCUUUUGAAACUUUUACUUUUGGUUUGGGAAUGAUUUACCGCAGACAGAGUAACUCUGGAACUAUACAUGUCCUGCAGAGGUUAGUGUUCCUCACUAAAGAAAACAAGGGCAUACCUCCUACUACUCGUGUCUAUUGUGAUUCUGGAAAUAUUUAGAGGAGCAAGUGGAAGUUGCCUACUUCUUAAUAGUUUAUACGUGUGCUGGGACAGAAAUAGAGGAGACAAAUUUCCUAAGGAAAUUAUCUGAUUCUUGCUUGGUUUUUGAUGCUUUUGGAGCCAUCUGUGAGGGAAGAGUUGAUACACAGCUUUUGCAGCAGGGAACUAAUCUCAUAUGAUCAGAUUUAUGUAGGAACUGGUAUGUUAUAUGUAAUGCUCUAGUAUACCUUUCUUUUCAUUUCGUAUUUUCUGCUGGGUUUUUUAUUCAUUUUGCUGUGAGAAAUGGGUUGCAGUAUCUCAACCGUUUGGAUCCUUCUUAUCCGUCCAUAAUUUGUCUAUAAAUUUAUUUCAGAAAGCAGGUAAAAUCGAUUCUGGUCAACAUGAAAGAGAAGUCAGAUAUAGAGAGAUUACUUCUGGUCAGGCAUGCUUGUAAAAAAUUUCAUUAUAUAUAUCAAAAUGAAAUGCUUUGCCAGAAGCUUUUUGCAGAGAGAAAGUUCGAAGAUCAGGCAGGAUUGGAUUGAAUACGAAAUACUUGAGAUAAAUUAUCAAAUAGGAAAUUUUAUUAACAGCGCC